UACCAGCACCCCGAGUGGUCGGGACGAUUAUUGGGCCUAAAGCAUCCGUAGCCUGUUCUGCAAGUCCUCCGUUAAAUCCACCCGCUUAACGGAUGGGCUGCGGGGGAUACUGCAGAGCUAGGAGGCGGGAGAGGCAAACGGUACUCAGUGGGUAGGGGUAAAAUCCAUUGAUCUACUGAAGACCACCAGUGGCGAAGGCGGUUUGCCAGAACGCGCUCGACGGUGAGGGAUGAAAGCUGGGGGAGCAAACCGG
rnacentral:rRNA from 1 species